UGUAAACGGCAAAUAAUCCCGUUAUCUCAUUAUGUCUCCACAAACUAUCGAUAUUCAGAAUUAUAUUCUGUUUCUGGUUUAUAGCCAACACAGAAAUAAGCUUUUCACCGAACACUUGAUAGUUGCUACUGUGUAACACAUACAUACAACCACGGAAGGUUCUUAGAGCAUAUCAGUCCUCCUAUGAGAAACAUUUGCUCAAUCCAAUUUUGAUAUUCGAAGAAAAAGACUUCCCGCAAUUGUUCUUAUGUUGCGUUGUUCCAGAAUGCAAGAAAGAACCAACAGAGAGAAAGAGAACUAAAAAGAGAGAGGAAGGAAUGGCUAAUACUUCACUGGUAUCUUCUUUAUCUUUCGUCUUUCAUUUUUUAUUUGACUCAGUCAUUACACCGCAGCCAUGCCGGAGCACCGACUUCAAGAAUGUUAGUCGAGCGAAUCGAUCUCAGUUUAUAUUUUUGUAAAGCCUGGUACUUAUUCCAGUAGGGGUAGCUUUUGCCAAACCACAACACCGGUUGUCAAACGGUUGUGGGGACAAAGGCAGGCAAAAACACGCACGCAAGGAAAAAGACACACACACGCACACACACACACACACACACACACACACACACACACAUAUAUAUAUAGAUAUAUAUAUGCAUAUACGUAUAUACGACGGUUUUUUUCAAUUGCCAUAUACCAAAUCUGCUCAUAAGGUUUUGGUUAGCCGAAGGGCCAUAGUGCAAACCUUUGCUCUCGGUACCACGAAGUAGGACUGAACCGGGAACCGCGCGGUUGGGAAACAAAGUCAUUGCCACACAGCCACACUUGCGCUAAUAUGAAGAAUGAAAAUUUGAUCUUACACUGAAUUCAAGAGUGCAGAGAAAAGAAGCAGUAGAGCGUUGGAUUAUAGCCAAAUUUGUAAUGACUGUCGUAACACAGAACCGUUUAUCCCAGUACCAUCAUGGGGUACGUGUAUUUCAGUGUUAUGUCAUAGGCAUUUACGAAGAUUCAGAUUUGUCUGUUGCCGUAUGUCGUGCGAGACAUGUCAUUGCUGCCACGCUCCUGCCUGCUAUUAUUCAGCAUUAAAGCAGUAACUAACAUGCCAUGUCUUGAAUGACAACGUUCAACCAUCUAAUAAUAACAAUCAAAUUCUUUCAAAUAACAUCUUAGCAUCAUACACACACACACGCACACACACAUGGAUACGCAGACGCAAACAUAAACACACACACUUUCACACAAAAACGCACACGCACCCGCACACACACAUAUACACACAAAGAAGGAAAUAAAAAAAAAAGACAAUGAAAACGUAAUAAUCGAUAUAGAGAAAUAGGUGACGGUCAAAACUGGAACACCAAUGAUCAUUUGUAUGCUCAAUCGAAGCUGCCUUUGGGAUAAACAGCAGCAAUAACAAGAAGAAAAAAACGUAAUAACAGUAGCAACAUCAAUUACGAAUGACGGCCAUUUUGUUUUCAGUCUAGUCUAUUGCGAACAAAUAUCAGGAAGCAGCUGUGAUAGGCAUGCCUUUGAGAAAGGUGUUAUCAUAUUACGUGAAAUUAUAAUGAAUGCCCUUCGUACAGGAAACAAUAAUAUAUCGGUGAUAUCUAAGGAUUUCAAUCUACUCACGUUUUCGUUCUGUAGCAAUGUCAGUUAUGUGAGAAAUUAAUAAUAUGCUACAGUAUAUAAUUACAUAAGAAAGAAAGAUAUUACAGUCUGGGUGAAAAAUACAAAUACAGGGUAAAAAUAUAUAAAGAGCAAAAAAUAAUAAAGCUUCCAGCGUUAAUAAAAGCAUGCAUAUUAAUGUAAAGCAAACCAA